rnacentral:rRNA from 1 species
GACGAACGCUGGCGGCGUGCUUAACACAUGCAAGUCGAGCGGAAAGGCCACUUCGGUGGUACUCGAGCGGCGAACGGGUGAGUAACACGUGCGUAAUCUGCCCCUCACUUUGGGAUAGCCACCGGAAGCGGUGAUUAAUACCGGAUAUGACCAUAUGUCGCAUGGCGUGUGGUGGAAAGUUUUUCGGUGAGGGAUGUGCUCGCGGCCUAUCAGCUUGAUGGUGAGGUAAUGGCUCACCAUGGCUUCGACGGGUAGCCGGCCUGAGAGGGUGACCGGUCACACUGGGACUGAGACACGGCCCAGACUCCUACGGGAGGCAGCAGUGGGGAAUAUUGGACAAUGGGCGGAAGCCUGAUCCAGCAACGCCGCGUGAGGGAUGACGGCCUUCGGGUUGUAAACCUCUUUCAGUACCGACGAAGCGCAAGUGACGGUAGGUACAGAAGAAGCACCGGCCAACUACGUG